rnacentral:rRNA from 1 species
CCCUUAGAUGAUUUGGGCUGCACGCGCGCUACACUGACCCUAACAAUGAGCAACUGUCUGGCCUGAGAUGGCUGGGUAGCCUUUUCAACCCAUGUCAUGAUUGGGCUAGAUUUUUGUAAGUCUUGAUCUCUAACGAGGAAUCCCUAGUAUGCGUGAAUCAUCAAUCCAUGCAGAUUACGUCCCUGCCCUUUGUACACACCGCCCGUCGCUACUACUGAUUGGAUGUUUAAGCGAGGUUCUCGAACUGCUAGCGACUUAGCUUCGGUGAGGUCGCAGUGUGGGAAGUGAACCUAGCUUUGGUGUCUAGAGGAAGUAAAAGUCGUAACA